AGAACGAACGCUGGCGGCAUGCCUAAUACAUGCAAGUCGAACGAACUCUUCGGAGUUAGUGGCGCACGGGUGCGUAACGCGUGGGAAUCUGCCCCUUGGUUCGGAAUAACAGUUGGAAACGACUGCUAAUACCGGAUGAUGGCGAAAGUCCAAAGAUUUAUCGCCAAGGGAUGAGCCCGCGUAGGAUUAGCUAGUUGGUGAGGUAAAGGCUCACCAAGGCAACGAUCCUUAGCUGGUCUGAGAGGAUGAUCAGCCACACUGGGACUGAGACACGGCCCAGACUCCGUACGGGAGGCAGCAGUAGGGAAUAGUUGGACAAGUGGGACGAAAGCCUGACU
rnacentral:rRNA from 1 species